GCUGUCUUGUGUCUCCCUCAGGUGGGUCUAGACGAGGAAGUGCGGCAGCUGCUGGAUCUGAAGGGUCAGGUAGCUCAGCGUGACCUGCGCCAGCUCAAGACCCACGCCACGCAAGACAACCAGACGCACGCCUCCGCCUCCUCAGGGAAUGAUCACUCGGGCGGCGCAGUGCGGCAGGGUAAAGUGGAGAGCACCCGCGAAGAGGCCUUCCACCUGGCAGACGGUACCAUCUCUCGCCAGGCCCACGCCGAGGAGCGAGUGUUGGCGAACGGUGCCCCAGUGAGCCGCGUGACCAGCGACGUGGAGGAGAGCAAGGAGGCUGGCCACACCCCGCACUCCCGCACACAGGUGCAGCUUGAUGUACCUUCGGAGAACCUUCACGAGACUCUUAUAGACGAGGAUGGCCAUCGCUCACUCUUCAGAGAGUCCCCCCAAGGUAAGGUCUCUCUCUCUCUCUCUCUC